rnacentral:rRNA from 1 species
UACGAAGGGGGCUAGCGUUGCUCGGAAUCACUGGGCGUAAAGCGCACGUAGGCGGAUUGCUAAGUCAGGGGUGAAAUCCUGGAGCUCAACUCCAGAACUGCCUUCGAUACUGGCGAUCUUGAGUCCGGAAGAGGUGAGUGGAACUCCUAGUGUAGAGGUGGAAUUCGUAGAUAUUGGGAAGAACACCGGUGGCGAAGGCGGCCAUCUGGCCCAUUUUUGACGCUGAGGCGCGAAAGCGUGGGGAGCAAACAGG